rnacentral:tRNA from 1 species
GACCGCAUAGUAUAUCGGUCAGUACGUGAGAUUCUGAUUCUCGCGAGCCCGGUUCGAUUCCGGGUGUGGUCU